rnacentral:rRNA from 1 species
UGGGGAAUAUUGGGCAAUGGGGGAAACCCUGACCCAGCAACGCCGCGUGAAGGAAGAAGGUCUUCGGAUCGUAAACUUCUAUCCUCGGUGAAGAGGAGAAGACGGUAGCCGAGAAGGAAGCCCCGGCUAACUACGUGCCAGCAGCCGCGGUAAUACGUAGGGGGCAAGCGUUGUCCGGAAUGAUUGGGCGUAAAGGGCGUGUAGGCGGCUAAGUAAGUCUGGAGUGAAAGUCCUGCUUUUAAGGUGGGAAUUGCUUUGGAUACUGCAUAGCUAGAGUGCAGGAGAGGUAAGUGGAAUUCCCAGUGUAGCGGUGAAAUGCGUAGAGAUUGGGAGGAACACCAGUGGCGAAGGCGACUUACUGGACUGUAACUGACGCUGAGGCGCGAAAGUGUGGGGAGCAAACA